rnacentral:rRNA from 1 species
UACAGAGACCUCAAGCGUUAUCCGGAAUUAUUGGGCGUAAAGCGUUCCGAUCGGUUGUUACUAAAGUCUUGGGUAAAAGCCGGAAGCUCAACUUCCGCGUUUGCUUAAGAUACUUAUAGACUAGAGGGGCAAAGAGGUGCUUGGAACCAACGGUGUAGUAGUGAAAUGCGUUGAUAUCGUUGGGAACACCGAAAGCGAAGGCAGAGCACUGGGUGCCACCUGACACUGCUAGGACGAAAGCGUGGGGAGCGAAUGGG